GAAGAACAUCGUUUUGUUUCAACAGCUUAUUGCCAUCUCCUUCAUUUUCUCAAUUUUGAAAUCAAAGCACAGAGGAAAAGUUGUGUGCAACCAGAUUGUUCCAUUUGGGUCAUGUGCGAUUGUUCCAUUUGGCAAAAGAUUUUGGGGGCAGUGAAUCUGGAAAAGAACUCGGAACCAGUUGACCUCGCGAAAGUAUCAAUCA
rnacentral:misc_RNA from 1 species